rnacentral:rRNA from 1 species
CAGCAGCCGCGGUAAGACAGAGGGUGCAAACGUUGUUCGGAAUUACUGGGCGUAAAGCGAGUGUAGGCGGUUCGGUAAGUCGGAUGUGAAAGCCCCGGGCUCAACCCGGGAAGUGCACUCGAUACUACCAAGCUAGAGUACUGGAGAGGUUGGUGGAAUUCUCGGUGUAGAGGUGAAAUUCGUAGAUAUCGAGAGGAACACCGGUGGCGAAGGCGGCCAACUGGACAGAUACUGACGCUGAGACUCGAAAGCGUGGGGAGCAAACAGGAUUAGAGACCCCAGUAGUCCCUGUCUCUUAUAC